rnacentral:lncRNA from 1 species
CACUGAACUUGGUCUUGGCUUCAGUUCCACCCAGAGACAAAGUCCGUUUCCAGGCCAAUUUCCAUAUGAAAGCAGCUGAGAUCUCUUUCCCCAUUCUGGAAUUCCAGGCAGCACCCAGGGCUCUGACUUCUCAGACUCAAGAGUUUUUGCCCAACUUUCCCCCCUCAUCCCAACUCACCCCUAAUCUCCUCCCACUCCAGUUUCUCUGGCCACAGGAUUUCCACUUCUCCCAGCACAGUGUUGUGGCCCUGAGAGAGCGUCUGUGAACUCAACUCCAGAACAACUCGCUUCACGUUUCUCUGAGGAUGACGGUGAGGCCCGAGCCCUGCAGUUCGGAGGAGGCCCCCUUGGACUCUGCAGUUUUGCAGCUGACCCGGGACUACUGUCUGGCAGGGGAGGGCAAAGGAAGAGAAGAAGCACUUUUCUGAUGGGACAUUCGAUGAUGCUUCUUAGUGGGCGUGGCGCUUCCAUUCAAGUCCCCCAUCUCAGUCAGAGCUGGGGACUUGCAGUUUGUCCUUGCCUGACAGGGAUUCGAAGGGCCAAAUUGUUUCUAGAGAAUAAAACGCAUGUUUGAAAUGGAACAAUGUAUUGACUUCAGGAGAAAACAUGCUGCUUUCCUGUUGCGUUACUGUGUCUGUCCAACUCUCUUGGCAAGCCCGUGAGCACUUUAGAGCCCUGCAGAGCCCUGUGGUUAGAAAGAGUUGGUGAAAGUUAAUGGUAAUUUCUUGCUGCAGUGUCACUUUGGUGAGCUCCCAAAGAGAGCUACUCUAAACCUCCUUUUAUCAAAGUAACUAGAAGGGCUGGAGGCAGGCGAUUCAAAGGCUCAGUAUGGAGAAACUCUGCUUCGGAAUGACGUGGUGACUGGUAUUUAAAUGCAGAGUGUCAUUACCUUACUAGGACCGAACUAGAAUGCUCACACUCAUGCUCCGGGCUACGACUCUUCAUGAAGUACAUUUCUAGAGAAGACUUUAGUGCUGCAUUUCCUGGGAAGCCAUCAUUUACUCAACUUCUUCAUUUUGAUGUGAUAAUAGUCUCACCUGAAGACCAUAUAACUAUCCAGUCAGUAACAAAGUACAACUUAGCCUAUCUUUGAGAAGUGCUAGGUUUCAAAAAUUAGCCUGGGAAAGCAUAUCAUGGAAGUAGAGAUAUUUAUUUAUCUACCUGGCUUUUCAUAGACCAGACACUUUGCUAAACUGAGGAUUAAGAAAUGAGAAAGUUAUGGGACUUCACUCCCAAGGCAGUCAUGAUGCAGUAAAGAAGACCUACAAGAAAACAGACCUGCAGUCCAGGCUGGUAAGUGAAAUAAUAGGAUGAUAUACAAGCAGCACUGGCAUAAAUAUAUCAAUGAAAACUUUAUAAAGGUGGUAAGAAGUGAAUUGGAUCUCUAAGGGUGGGUGAGAGUCCUCCAAGGGCAAUUUCAGACAGAGGAAAUCUCCUAGGUACUCUCACUUAGGCCUAACAACUAGACAUUUACUCCCAAGACCCCAUGAAGCCAGUUGGUUAUCAAAGAUCUUAAGACGAUAUCAGAAUGGUUACAGAGAAGACUCCAGACCCAACGGCCUGAAUUUGGACUAGUACCAAUUCUUGGCUAAGUGAUCGUGUGUAAGUUACCUCUCUGAGCCUCAGUUUCCUCAUCUGUAAAAUGGGUACAAUAAUGGUAUCUUCCUUGUAGAUGGUUGUAAAGAUUAAAUGUUAGAGAUGACCCAUAUUAACUGCUUAAGACCAAUGCUUGGCAUGUGUUGUUUAGUAUAUUUUACCUCUAGAUUUCAUUUGUCUCUCCUAUCUCCAAAUAUCUACUAGAUACUAUUACUGCUACUAGAAUUGACAGUGUGUUAAGUGACAGAAACCAAUUAUCUCCCAAGCAAAGUGUCAUUAGCUCAUUGGCCCAGCUAUAGUCAGAGAUGACCUGAUCACUUAGCGAUAUAUGCCAUGGGUAUGGGAGGAAGAGUGGAGAACACAUGCUUCUUAGUUAUCAUCUUUUCCUGUAGGCCUUUAGGAGGUGAUGCCUAGAAUAAGGAAGUCUCAACAGUGUGAGUGUCAGGGGAAGGAUGCUGAGGUGGCCAGGGAAGAGGGAAGUCUGGAUAGUGGGGGCAGUAUUGUGAAUGUGAAGCACUAGCAGGAGCAGAGCAGGCAAGAAGGGCGUAUGAGGCUGGGUUGGGAAGGAUGUAAGGCAACAGGAUGGCAUUCAGAAAGCCAGAUCCACCAGUUGAGAAGUAUUUCCAAGGUAGGAUGGUGGCACCAAGGAGAGAAUUAAUGAUUUGUUCAUGGCUGAUAUGAAUGGCAGUUUCAACGAAAGUAUCAGAAGUAUCAGGCGAUGUCAUGCUUCAUUCAUUUACAUACUGAGCUCCUCCUGGAGACCAGGAGGGAACAUGGCAGGCCUUUCAUGAUGCUUAUAUUCUACUGGGAGUGGGGGAGUGGUGGGGAACAGAUUAUAAACAAAUAAACAUGAAACAUGGUAGAUGUUAUAAGUACUGUAAGGAAAAAUGAAACAGGGUAAGAAAGAGAAUGAUAGAUUGGUGGGACUGGUUCCAUUCUUGGAGAGAGUUCAAGGAAAGCUUUUCUAAUAAGGUGACUUUUGAGCAGUAGAUGUGGACGAAGUGAGGGUGUGAGUUGUGCUGACAUCUUGGGGAAGAAUAUUCCAGGCAGAGAGACUAUAAGGGUAAUUAUGGUAGCCAGCUUUCAAAAUGGCCCUGAAGACUCUUGCCUCCUGGUAUCCAUGUGCCAGUACAAUCUCUUUCCACAUUGAAUAGAACUGACACACAUAACCAACAGAAUAUUGUGGAAAUAGAAUGUCACUUCCAGAGUUAGCUCAUAAAAGCACUGCGACUUCCUCCUUGCUCUUUCUUUGAUCACUCACUCUGGGGGAAGCCAGCUGCCAUGUCAUGAGGGCACUCAAGCAACUCUAUGGCGGGGUCCUCAUGGUGAGAAACUGGGGCCUUCUACAAACAGCCAGUACCAAAUUGCCAAAUGUACACGUGAGCCAUCUUGGAAACAGAUCCUCAAGCCUUCCAAGACUGCAGCCCUGACAUAUAUCUUGACUGCACCCUCCUGAGAGAUCCCCAUGCCAGAACCAUCCAGCUAAGCUACUCUUGCAUUCCUGACCCAAAGAAACUAAAACAUUUCAGCAGAAUUGCUAAGGAUGAGGAGUUUGCAUUUUGAUAUCAUCUAGAACCUGCCCAAUGGAGUAGCAGGAAAAGCAAAGCAGAGACAGUGUCCCAGGUCACUUGUUUUGUGUGUUUCCACGGCUUUUCUUAUGCUCUCUCAUCAUACACGUUCCUCUUUCCUGUCAUCAGACCUGGUCUAGAUUCAGGCUUAAGCUAAGGUCGUACCUAAGCUCUGGUCCUACUUCCUCCAUUAAACACCUCUCUUGUUACCAAACUCAUGGAGGAAGAAGUGAAGGGAAUAUAAAUUAUGUUAUAUGUGGUAUCUCAUACAACCUCCUACAACCCUAGGAAGUAGGUAUUAUUAUCUACUUUUUAUAGAUGGAAAAAAAUGAAACUUGAAAUGAUUACAGAGUUUAUUCUAGGACACAUAGCAAAGUGAUAAUUUGAAUUCAAACCUACUGAAUUUUAAGCUUUAUCUUUUAAGUUUUCUGUUUUUCUUUUGUGAUUGCACAAGACAUUGCUUAUGAUAAAUUUGGGAAGUUUAGGAACGCACACACACAAAUUAUUAGUAAUCCCACGAUUUGGGGCUAACUAUGCUUACAUUUUGGAUUAGAUAUGUCUAGUUUCUUUUUCAAGCAUUUUUUUUUUAAUUUAAAAAUUAGAUUAGACUAUGCAAACUUUUUAAAGCUGUUUUUCAUCCUCUCGUGUAUUGUAAACACUUUUUUGUGUUAUUAAUACUCCUCUACAGGAAAAUUUUAGUGGUUGCAAGUAUACUUCAUGUUUUGACUGCAUCAUAAUGUAUUCAAUGAAACUUUAUUAUUGUACAUUUAUGUUGUUUCCAAACUUUCUCUAUUAUCGUAGAGAUCAUGUAAUAAGCAUACUUGACGACGAAUCUUUGUGCACAUCCACGAUUAUUAGGAUAAGUUUUCACGAGUAGUAUCACUUGUAAAAUUUAAGUUAAAAUUUAAUUUGUUAAAUUUAGGACAAAAACAUUGGUAGGCUUUUGACACACAUUGCCAAAUUGCUCUCCGGAGAGUUGUACCAAAUCUACUCCCACCAGCAGGAUACAAGGAUGCUCAUUUCUUCACACAUUCAUCAGCAUUAGAAUUAGUAUUAAAAUUUUAAAAAUCCUUGUUAGUUCUUUUAUUUUGAGUUAAAUGUGGGAUUCUGUUGAUGUGUCACUAAACACUGCCCAAGGAAAGCUUGGUGGAAAACACCACAUGCUCAUUACAAAUGUUAUUAAAAAGACAAGAAAUAACAAGUGUUGGAGAAGAUGUGGAGAAAAGAGAACACUACUACACUGCUGCUGGGAAUGAAAACUGGUACAGCCACUAUGGAAAAGACUAUGAAGCUUGCUCAGAAAAUUAAAAAUAGACAUACAAUAUGACCCAGCUAUCCCACUACUGGGUAUUUAUCCAAAGAACACGGAAACACUAAUUCAAAAAGAUAUAUGCACCUCUGUGUUCAUUGCAGCAUUAUUCACAAUAGCCAAGACUUGGAAGCAACCCAUAUGCCCAUCAACAGAUUAAUGGAUAAAGAAGAUGUGGCAUAUAUGUAUAUACAAUGGAGUGCUACUCAGCCAUGAAAAAAGAUGAAAUUGUGUGAUUUGCAGCAACAUGCAUGGACCUUCAGGAUAUUAUGCUAAGCAAAAUAAAUCAGACAGAGAAAGGUAAACACCGUAUGAUUCCAUUCAUAUGUGAAAGAUAAAAAACCAAACAAACACAUAGAUAAGGAGAACAGAUUGGUGGUUACCAGAGGGGAAGAGGUUGGGGUAGGGCAAAAGCGAUAAAGGAGCACACAUGUAUGUGAGACGGAAACUACACUUUUGGUGAUGAACACGAUGCAGUCUAUACAGAAGCCAAAAUGUAAUGAUGUACACCUGAAAUUUACACAUUAUAAACCAAUGUGACCUCAAUAAAAUUAAAAAAAAUCUCUUCCCGAGGUUCUUGAACACAGAAGGACUCAUACAUAAUGUAAACAUUUGUCCAGGCACUGUAUGUUGAAGUAUAAAGAAACGGAAGACAUCUGCCUCCAAACCUAAUUUACAACAACUGAAGGAGACAUGGCUCAGGAGUGGUAUCACCACUGUUCUGCUAUUAUUGCUACAUUCCUUGUGGUGACAGUGCUAGAGAUGAGGUCUGUGUACUCCUACAGAGUGAGAGUGGUACUGAACUCAUCUGUGUGCAGUGUCUGCUACUAUAAUAAGUUUUCAUUAAAUGUUGCCGGCUAACAAAAGGAAAGCAGGAAAGGAGGGAAGGAAUGAAGGAAGGAAGAAACGAUGGACUUGAAUCUGGCCCGAUAAUUUGCCCCAGGGCCCUGAAGCCCACUGUGAUGCAAUAUGUUAACUCUCCCAGGUGAGAAGCAGGUGCUCUACCUGCGUUCUGAUUUAACACUGGCGGCAGAGUUGAGUGAAGUGAGUCUCCAGGAGAGACUGGCCUGCACCUGGCGAGGAGCAACUCCAUCUCGGUAGAGGAACAGCCUUCCUGGGUUCUGGAGCUUCACAGUGGAUCACAGGGGCUCCUGGUUGGUGACUCUAGAACAGUUGUCAAUGGCCCUGUGCCCUCUGGGCAGUGAUGAGCCCUCCCUCCUCCAUGUGGGACGCUCCCUGAGUGCUUCCUACUUUCCUCUCCAGGGUGUGUGCCUGCCCUUCACUUCCCAUUGGAAUCACCACUGGGGCCACCGCUGAGCUUACUGCCGUGUCUUUGAUGAACAGAUAUUUUGGAAAGGGCAUUUUCACUUAAGAAAAUCCUUUUUAUGCAGCAGCAGAUCUUAAGCUAAUGUUCAAGAUGCCAUCUUUUCAAACUUUUUUUUUAAAUAAAAAAAAGAAGAUUCCGUACAAUAUGCCAAAACGUUACAGCUUUGUUACCUUUUUUUUUUUGAGAAAUGCUUACCCAACAGAUCCUGCUGAAGAAGCCAGUGAGAGAACAUUCUCUUCUCUGGUGUGGUUUAGUACAAUAAUUAUUACUAAUCCAGCAAUAAUGAACCACAUUCACCUCGAGUUAUAAAAAUUAAAUAAUAGCCAUCAUAAGACUCUGUCAGGGUGUGCUGCUUUUGUAAUUCUCAGAGCAUGCUCACAAACAUGAUCUCAUUGGAUUUCCACAGCAGCCAGGUGAGACGGGGAAGUGCUGGGGCAAUUGGUCUCAUUUUCAGGCAUGAUGGAAAGAGGCCAAGCGUUUUGCUCAAGGUCAUGCAGCAUAUUAAUGGCUGAUGGAGAGGAAGAGUCUGGGCCCCAGCUUUAACAGCCCUGCAUCUUUUCCAGAACACUUGGGACAAUGUGACAUGACUGUCCCUGUGCCUGGCUGUGGAAUUCAGGUUGGUUCUCUGAACUUUUCUCUCUUGCUGAUGCCACCAACCACAGCCAAAGCAUGGCUCCUAAGCACUCUCCCAUUAUGCCUAGCGCUCUCAGACUUUACCAGGAAGCCCUCGAGGUCAUGGGCUGCCAAGCCAGUGGGAGGUAUGUCUGCAUGUACGGGUGAGUUUAACAGACAGCUCAACCUGAGCUGUUGUGAGAACACACUACUUUCUCCACUGGCCGUAGGACAGAACUAGGCUGUUUAAUGAUGAAGUUAGGGGCUUAGGCUCUGGUGAUGGCAAACCUGGCUUCAAAUCCAGGUUCAUAUUCUUACUGGUGUAUGACCUUGGGCAAAGUACCUCUCCCAGCCUGUUUCCCCAUGUAAAAUUUGUUUGAUAAUGGAAUGCCUUGCAUACCUGGUUUUGAUAAUGAAAUGAGAUCCGAAGCUCUCGGCACAUUGCAAGCACUCAAAACAUCUUAGACGUUAUGAUUAUUAGCAUCAUUAUCACCAGUGGUAUGGAAAUUCAUCUAGAGACUCAUUCGUGUCUUUGGCCUCAGUCAUUUGGACCCCAAAGAUGGCAGAAACACUGAUGCCACCACACAGUCAUAAAGCCCCCUAAGCAAGAAACCGAGUGAGCAUUCCAGAACUCAGCAGCCCAGUCUUUGGUAUUAUAUUAGUUUCCUACGGCUGCUGUAGCAAAUUACCACAAACUUCACAACUUAAAACACCGCACAGAUUUAUUAUCUCACUGUUCUACAGGCAAGGAACCUGACAUGGGUCUCAAAGGGCUGAAAUCCAGGUGUCGGAAGCGCUGUGUUCUUUUCUGGAGGCUCCAGGGAGAAUCAGUUUCCUCAUCUUUCCUAACUUCUAGAGGCUCCUGUCUUCCCUGGCUCCUGGCCGCCUUCCCCCUCAUCAAGUGCAGGCACAGCAGGUUGAGUCCCUCUCACAUUGUAUCGCUCUGGCCUCUUUUUCCCCUUCUUCCCUCUAAGGACGCUUGUGAUCACACUGGGCCCACCCGGAUAACCCAGGAUAAUUUCCCUAUCUUCAGGUCAACUGGUUAGCCACUCUGAUUCCAUCUGCACCCUGAAUUCCCUCAGCUCUCUCAAUUGGGACACAGACAUUUGCCGGGGCGCAUUAUUCUGCCUGCCACAGAUAUUCAGGCUCUGCUCACUGAGUGAAAGCCCGGAAGCAGGGUCCAGCACGUGGGAGCCAGGCAAAGAGGAGAGAAGGAGGAAGGCCAGUCGCCCAGGCAAACUGGUGCACAGCGCAGGACUGUCAUGGCUACUGUUUAUUGCCAACUACCUGCCGGACAGACACCUUAUAUAUCCAUUCCCUUAAAUCCACACAGUCAUAUAAAGUAGAUAUUAUUAGCCUCAUUUAACAUGAGGAACCUGAGACUCAGAGGAAUUAAUUCAUCCAAGGUCACCCGAUGGGGCUAGUGUUUGAACUUAGGUUUGACUCCCAAAGCCUGUAAAGGUGUUUCUCAAAGAACGUUCUGUACAUCUGCAUCAGAAGCCACCAGGGGGCUUGUUAAAAUGCAGAUUCCUGGGCUCCAUCCUUCAUCCCAAUGUCCUGGGUUAGUGAGUCUGGAAUAGACCCAAGGACUCUGCAUUUACCAAACUCCCGGGGAGGCCAGGUGAUUCUAACAUUCACUAAACUGUAAGAACGGCCCCUCUAAGGCACAGAGGGCUGUGGUGAGCACUGCACCAGAAGGCAAACGUGACCCAGAGUUCCAGGAUCAAGAGACAGGGCAAGGAGUUCAGAAGUAGCAGGGGAACAGGAAGAUCCCAUGAUGUGUUUCCUGCUGGAUGGCCUGGGCCAGGCCAGGAAUAAAAGAUGAGAUAGAGGCUGAGGCCUAGCCUAGCUUCUCAGGUGCUGCCACCAGGAAAUGAGAGGCCUGGCCUGGACUUCACAUGGCACAUUUCUGACCAGCUUUUGAGCUGCUGGGAGGGAGGGAGGGAUCAUGUGUCAUCGCUGAGGGUGGAAUACUUACUCCUUUCCUGGUGUGGGAAGUCAGGGGGCAGGAGUGGCUCCUACAGUGCUGCCUACUGCUGAGGAACGUGCAGGAUCCCACGACUCUGGGCCCCUCCCCUCCCGCCACACUUCACUCCCUUCAGACCCAGCGCCUGUUCUCCAGGGCUCAGGCAGAGGCUGUGAAGGAGGGAUGGGGCCCUGGGCUGAAUCAUCCUUCCCUUGGAGGAGAGUUGGGAUGACUUCAUGCGGGGUUUACUAGUACCUCCUUCACAGACUGGUUCUCACAGGGGGAGGCAGCGUCUUCACCUUGGGCAGGUUCAUUUGUGCAAGGUAUUAUGGGGUUCUUGCAGCAAGCUCAGCUUCUCAUUAGCUGAGGUGGAUGCUGGUCCCACAGUCUCACCUGCCUCCCUGUCAAGGAAUCCCUGCUUUCUCCAUUAACCUUCAAAGGUCUCCAUCUCUUCCUUGGUCCCAACGUCGGCCUCAGGUACAGGCAGAUGAGGGGUAUGGCAGUGCUGGGAUCUGGGGUGCCCUCGAACAGCCCUUGGCCCCUUGAUGGCCUCUAUCUGUGCAUUCACGCCACCCCUUCUCCUAGCAGGCCUGGACUUCUCACCAGAUUAACCUCCAAGAGGACGGACAUAGGUAAGGGCAUUGUCUCCUGGUGACCCCACUAAAAUCCACUGGAACACCUGCCAAUAGUUCAUCGGCCUCUUCUCUUAUUCCCAGGCCUUUCCCAUGACUGAGCAUUUCUACCAGACUGCCUUUGAUUCACAAGGUUCAGGCUACACAGCAGGGAAGCACAAUGAUGUCAAAGAAAGAGAAUAAAAUUUUUAACCAGACAACUUUGCUGCAAGUCCCAGCAGAACUGUUUGCUUGCUAUGAUCUUGGGCAAGUACCUCACUUCGGACUCAUUUCCCAUUGCCUGACUCACAGGGUCAUUUUGAGGAUUAAAUGAGAUAAUGCAUAUAAAAGCAUAUUAUGAAGAGUAAUACAUUGUACAUGUUCAUUAAAGAUUUAUUGAGCCCAUUUAUUGAGUGUUUAUUCUCUGCCAGGUCCUGUGCCGGGCACGGGGCCGGGGGGCAUGGACAUUUAAGAUACAGCACACACUGAAAGCAUUCUCAGGGCACGGCCAGCAUUAUUAUGAUUAAUAAUACGCUAAUAUUUGAAGGUGAGCAAGCCCAGCAGUGAUGACGAGGAUGAGGGGUCAAACAAGAUCCUGCCAUGGUGGACACCUUGAGCCGGGGUGUGGGGACUUUCUUUUCUCCAUUGUAUACCCUCAGCUCCUUUGUUGAAUAUUAGCUGUCUAUAGAUGUAUGGUUUUAUUUCUGGGCUUUCAAUUCUGUUCCAUUGAUCUGUGCACCUGUUUUUAUACCAUUACCAUGCUGUUUUGAUUACUGUAGCUUUGUAGUAUGUUUUGAAGUCAGGGAUUGUGAUGUCUGCAGCUUUGUUCUUUUUUCUCAGGAUCGCUUUAGCAAUUCGGGGUCUUUUGUUGCCUGAUAUGAAUUUUAGGAUUCUUUGUUCAAUUUCUGUAAGGAAUGUCAUU